UACAGAGGGUGCAAGCGUUAAUCGGAAUUACUGGGCGUAAAGCGCACGCAGGCGGUCUGCUAAGUUUGGAGUGACAGUUGGUGGCUUAACUGCCAAAGUGCUUCGAAAACUGACAGACUUGAGGGCUUCAGAGGGACACGGAAUUCCGGGUGGAGUGGUGAAAUGCGUAGAGAUCCGGAGGAACACCAAAGGCGAAGGCAGUGUCCUGGCGAGUGACUGACGCUGAGGUGCGAAAGCCAGGGGAGCGAACGGG
rnacentral:rRNA from 1 species